GAUCCUGGCUCAGGAUGAACGCUGGCGGCGUGCUUAACACAUGCAAGUCGAACGGGACGCCAAGGAAAGAGUUUUCGGACAAUGGAAUUGGUUGUUUAGUGGCGGACGGGUGAGUAACGCGUGAGUAACCUGCCUUGGAGUGGGGAAUAACACAGUGAAAAUUGUGCUAAUACCGCAUGAUAUAUUGGUGUCGCAUGGCACUGAUAUCAAAGAUUUAUCGCUCUGAGAUGG
rnacentral:rRNA from 1 species